GAUGAACGCUAGCUACAGGCUUAACACAUGCAAGUCGAGGGGCAUCAGGAAGAAAGCUUGCUUUCUUUGCUGGCGACCGGCGCACGGGUGAGUAACACGUAUCCAACCUGCCCUUUACUCGGGGAUAGCCUUUCGAAAGAAAGAUUAAUACCCGAUAGCAUAAUGAUUCCGCAUGGUUUCAUUAUUAAAGGAUUCCGGUAAAGGAUGGGGAUGCGUUCCAUUAGGUUGUUGGUGAGGUAACGGCUCACCAAGCCUUCGAUGGAUAGGGGUUCUGAGAGGAAGGUCCCCCACAUUGGAACUGAGACACGGUCCAAACUCCUACGGGAGGCAGCAGUGAGGAAUAUUGGUCAAUGGGCGCUAGCCUGAACCAGCCAAGUAGCGUGAAGGAUGAAGGCUCUAUGGGUCGUAAACUUCUUUUAUAUAAGAAUAAAGUGCAGUAUGUAUACUGUUUUGUAUGUAUUAUAUGAAUAAGGAUCGGCUAACUCCGUGCCAGCAGCCGCGGUAAUACGGAGGAUCCGAGCGUUAUCCGGAUUUAUUGGGUUUAAAGGGAGCGUAGGUGGACUGGUAAGUCAGUUGUGAAAGUUUGCGGCUCAACCGUAAAAUUGCAGUUGAUACUGUCAGUCUUGAGUACAGUAGAGGUGGGCGGAAUUCGUGGUGUAGCGGUGAAAUGCUUAGAUAUCACGAAGAACUCCGAUUGCGAAGGCAGCUCACUGGACUGCAACUGACACUGAUGCUCGAAAGUGUGGGUAUCAAACAGGAUUAGAUACCCUGGUAGUCCACACAGUAAACGAUGAAUACUCGCUGUUUGCGAUAUACAGUAAGCGGCCAAGCGAAAGCAUUAAGUAUUCCACCUGGGGAGUACGCCGGCAACGGUGAAACUCAAAGGAAUUGACGGGGGCCCGCACAAGCGGAGGAACAUGUGGUUUAAUUCGAUGAUACGCGAGGAACCUUACCCGGGCUUAAAUUGCAGUGGAAUGAUGUGGAAACAUGUCAGUGAGCAAUCACCGCUGUGAAGGUGCUGCAUGGUUGUCGUCAGCUCGUGCCGUGAGGUGUCGGCUUAAGUGCCAUAACGAGCGCAACCCUUAUCUUCAGUUACUAACAGGUCAUGCUGAGGACUCUGGAGAGACUGCCGUCGUAAGAUGUGAGGAAGGUGGGGAUGACGUCAAAUCAGCACGGCCCUUACGUCCGGGGCUACACACGUGUUACAAUGGGGGGUACAGAAGGCAGCUAGCGGGUGACCGUAUGCUAAUCCCAAAAGCCUCUUCUCAGUUCGGAUCGAAGUCUGCAAACCGGACUUCGGAAAGCUGGAUUCGCUAGUAAUCGGGCUUCAGCCAGGGGGCGGGGAAUACGUUCCCGGGCCU
rnacentral:rRNA from 1 species